rnacentral:rRNA from 1 species
GAUGAACGCUGGCGGCGUGCCUAAUACAUGCAAGUCGAGCGGACGGACGAUAAGCUUGCUUUUCUGAUGUUAGCGGCGGACGGGUGAGUAACACGUGGAUAACCUACCUAUAAGACUGGGAUAACUUCGGGAAACCGGAGCUAAUACCGGAUAAUAUUUUGAACCGCAGUGUUCAAAAGUAAAAUACGGUCUUUCUGGCACUUAUAGAUGGAUCCGCGCUGCAUUGUCUAGUUGGUAAGGUAACGGCUUACCAAGGCAACGAUGCAUAGCCGACCUGAGAGGGUGAUAGGCCACACUGGAACUGGGACACGGUCCAGAGUCCUACGGGAGGCAGCAGUAGGGAAUCUUACGCAAUGGGCGAAAGCCUGACGGAGCAACGCCGCGUGAGUGACGAAGGUCUUCGGAUCGUAAAACUGUGUUAUUAGGGAAGAACAUAUGUGUAAGUAACUGUGCACAUCUUGACGGUACCUAAUCAGAAAGCCCCGGCUAACUACGUG